rnacentral:rRNA from 1 species
GAAGCCAGACCGGAAGGACUGGUGGAGCGCUUAGAAGUGAGAAUGCCGGUAUGAGUAGCGAAAACAGAGGUGAGAAUCCUCUGCGCCGAAAGCCUAAGGGUUCCUGAGGAAGGUUCGUCCGCUCAGGGUUAGUCGGGACCUAAGCCGAGGCCGAAAGGCGUAGGUGAUGGACAACAGGUUGAGAUUCCUGUACCACCUCCUUCCCGUUUGAGCGAUGGGGGGACGCAGGAGGAUAGGGCGAGCAGGCGGCUGGAAGAGCCUGUCCAAGCCGCAAGGCUGAUCCGUAGGCAAAUCCGCGGAUUGUAAGGCCAAGCGGUGAUGGCGACGGAGUCAUCCGGAAGUCCCCGAUUUCACACUGCCAAGAAAAGCCUCUAGCGAGGGAAGAGGUGCCCGUACCGCAAACCGACACAGGUAGGCGAGGAGAGAAUCCUAAGGCGCGCGGGAGAACUCUCGUUAAGGAACUCGGCAAAAUGACCCCGUAACUUCGGGAGAAGGGGUGCUCGUUUGGGUGAAGAGCCCGAACGAGCCGCAGUGAAAAGGCCCAAGCGACUGUUUAUCAAAAACACAGGUCUCUGCGAAGC